rnacentral:rRNA from 1 species
AAUCAACGCUGGCGACGUGCCUAACACAUGCAAGUCGAACGCGAAAGUCCCGCAAGGGAUGAGUAGAGUGGCAAACGGGUGAGUAACACGUGGGUGACCUGCCUUCGAGCGGGGGAUAACGUCCCGAAAGGGACGCUAAUACCGCAUGACAUCCUGCCUUUGAAGAGGUGGAGAUCAAAGCUGGGGAUCGCAAGACCUAGCACUUGAAGAGGGGCCCGCGUCUGAUUAGCUAGUUGGUGGGGUAACGGCUCACCAAGGCAACGAUCAGUAUCCGGCCUGAGAGGGCGGACGGACACACUGGGACUGAGACACGGCCCAGACUCCUACGGGAGGCAGCAGUGGGGAAUUGUUCGCAAUGGGCGCAAGCCUGACGACGCAACGCCGCGUGGAGGAUGAAGA